rnacentral:rRNA from 1 species
AUGCAAGUCGAACGGGGUAGCAAUACCCAGUGGCAGACGGGUGAGUAACACGUGGUCAACCUACCUCUGUGUGGGGGAUAACUAGCCGAAAGGUUAGCUAAUACCGCAUACGAUCGUUUGGAGGCAUCUUCGAACGAUGAAAGGAGCAAUCCGCACGGAGAGGGGACUGCGUCCCAUUAGUUAGUUGGUGGGGUAACGGCCUACCAAGACCGCGAUGGGUAGCUGGCUUGAGAGAGCGACCAGCCACACUGGAACUGAGACACGGUCCAGACUCCUACGGGAGGCAGCAGUGAGGAAUUUUCCGCAAUGGGCGCAAGCCUGACGGAGCGACGCCGCGUGUGGGAAGAAGGCCUUCGGGUCGUAAACCACUGUCGAAGGGGACGAUAUUGACGGUACCCUUGGAGGAAGCCCCGGCUAACUACGUGCCAGCAGCCGCGGUAAGACGUAGGGGGCAAGCGUUGUCCGGAAUUAUUGGGCGUAAAGCGCUCGUAGGUGGAUCGACAAGUCUGCAAGGAAAGAACCGGGCUCAACUCGGGAACCCGUGUGGAUACUGCCGAUCUUGUGG